GACGAACGCUGGCGGCGUGCUUAACACAUGCAAGUCGAACGGAAAGGCCCUGCUUUUGUGGGGUGCUCGAGUGGCGAACGGGUGAGUAACACGUGAGUAACCUGCCCUUGACUUUGGGAUAACUUCAGGAAACUGGGGCUAAUACCGGAUAGGAGCUCCUGCUGCAUGGUGGGGGUUGGAAAGUUUCGGCGGUUGGGGAUGGACUCGCGGCUUAUCAGCUUGUUGGUGGGCUAGUGGCAUACCAAGGCUUUGACGGGUAGCCGGCCUGAGAGGGUGACCGGCCACAUUGGGACUGAGAUACGGCCCAGACUCCUACGGGAGGCAGCAGUGGGGAAUAUUGCACAAUGGGCGGAAGCCUGAUGCAGCAACGCCGCGUGCGGGAUGACGGCCUUCGGGUUGUAAACCGCUUUCGCCUGUGACGAAGCGUGAGUGACGGUAAUGGGUAAAGAAGCACCGGCUAACUACGUG
rnacentral:rRNA from 1 species